UGGGUGAAAAUGUUAUGGCAACCCUGCCUGCGCUAAUGGGAUACGCCGGCGGAGCACCAGUGAAGGGUGAUAGAUGAGAAUUAAAACAGGCCAGUUAGCCCAUCAUGAUGAAUUCAUCAGGAAUUAACCAUGAUAGUUUCCAGGGGGAACCGCGAGGAGUUCGACCUGGUUGGGUAUAUUGCUAGCAAUGGGAUUCUUAGUCUCUAUUACUAACAAUCCUUUUUCCCCUGGUGAGGAUGAAGUUAGAUCAGUUGGCCCAUUUCCAGAACAUGUGGUAUGGACCCAUGUGGUAUGGGUGGACCGCGUAAAUUUUUUUUUAAUUAAUGGAUAACAAUGGAAUGGUAAUCCCGCCUGCGCUAACGGUAUACAGUGGCGGGACACCAGUAAGAGGUGAUAGGUGAGGAAGAAAAGGCAGGUCAGUUAGCCCAUCGUGAUGAAUACACCUGGAAUUCCGCACGAUGGUUUCCAGUGUAUAUUGGUAGUAACGUGAUUAGUUAUUUGCAAUACUAACAAUCUCUUCCCCCACCACAAUGGUUUUCAGGAUGCACCGCGUGUGGCGUGAAGCAGUUAUGUUUGCAUGACUAUGUUUCGGUUUGAAAGGUAGGCCUAUACUACUGUUCAUGUCUAAAGGCGACAGUUACCACUUUCUAUCAAGUGGGCUAUCAGCUUAUUUGCCAUUAUAAGUAUCAUAAUUCGUUAUCACUACGGGUUCCAUUUGCCCAGGGUGUAACAACCAUGGGGUGUCCACAGAUGCAGAGCAGUCUUGCCCAGGGCAUGUUCUUGGCUGGUGGACGAGGGGCGUACGCUGGAGCCGCGCUGCAGGGUCCCCUAGCUUAUUUGGAAAAGACCGCCACUAAUAUAGACAUGGUGGGACUUGGGGAUGGAAGGAGGUGACGCGGUCGCGGGAGGGGCAGGGGUCGGGGCCGCGGCAGAGGUCGAGGUCGUGGAGCAUCCCCUGAAUAUGGCGGCAGCAUGACGCCGCCAUAGCGCGCCCCUCUCCCGGCGCACACGGACGCACACACACACGCCCCCACGUCCACAUGCACACACAGCACACACACACAGUACGGCGCAAGCGCAGACACUGGUUUUUUAUAAUUUUACUGGCUUUGUAAAAAAAAUUUGGCUUUUUAUUUUAACGACUGCCUUAAAAAAAAGGAGUGUAUUGUUUUCAGGUUCAUGUAUGUGAGUUUAUUCCGCCAUAAAUUUUAAAUGCCUGUAAAGAUUUAGAUGUAUGAGAUAUUGUUAAAAUCCUUACAUCAUCCUGAGCAAUACUGGUUAUUUUUUUUUUACUUUUACUUAUUUUUUUUUAAAAAAGGCAGUCGUGUUUUUUUUCUGUGUAGCUUGUUUUUUUAUGUUGGUGUUGGUAGUAGGUACUCUGAUAUGAUAGCCGACGAGAGAGUCUAAGAUACAGACAUCACCAUUUCAUGGAAAUCUUCAGGAAUCAUUUACCUACAAGCAGAUUUUUUUAAAUACAGCACUAAUUUAUCUGAAUCAAUAUUAUAAAAAGGAAAGAUUUGAUUUUUUACUUGUAAUGAAUAAACUGGAAAAAUACUUAAUCGGUUUUGAAAUAAUAUCAUUUUUAGAAAGCUACAUUUUCACUUUUUUUUAUACCACUGAGGUGGCAAACAAGCAUACGGCCUACCUGAUGGUAAGCGAUCACUGACUAACAUGGGUUGUAUUCUAUCAAAAAAAAAAAAAACUGCAAAAUAAUCGAGUAGGAAAAAAAAACAAUGGAACAUGUAAUGUCCCGAUUCAAAUGUUCCGAAUCGAUGCAACGUUGUAACCUUCAAGGAAAGAGCAUUACUCCUUUUUAAAAGGCCGGCAACAUAUCUGCAAUGCAGUUGGUGUCGUGAGUGAUCAUGGGCGGCGGUAGUCACUUACCAUCGAGUGAGCCGCACGCUCGUUUAUGUCGCCCCUUAUGUUACAAAAAAAAAAAACAUACCAUACAGACUUCUUUCGUCUACUCUAUAUUUAUUAAUCUGCAGACGCCAUUAUCAACACCGCUUUUUAUAAGUUUUAAUUUUUCUUAAGAAAAAAAAAGUAUUUUUAUUUUUUAAUUCCAUUGACGCGCAGUGCACGAUGUAAAAAGUUUAUAAAUAUAAAUGUAUUAACAAUACUAAACUGAUCCAUUGCUAACCAGUAAGUAUGGAAUUUUAUUAUCAAUAAAAUAUCUCUUUUGGUAUUCAUGGUAUGGUACACUGUACAUUUUUUUAACAAAUAUUUAAAAUUGGCAUUAUGCAGAAAACUUAUCUCUCUCAACUUAUUGUAAUUUCAUUUAGUUUUGUUUGUAAUUUGUAUGAAUAAUUUAUAGAUACUAGUAAACUUAUUCUACCCUAGUUAAAAGAAUCUGACGAUAGAUAAGUUUUCGUUAACACACAUAUAAGUGUAGGCGUAUUUAAAAGGGGUCUAAUUGGGCCGUGUCCAUCUUAGAAUUGUUUGGUUCCCAUCCUGGGAGUAACGAAGCUUUUAGCUAUCGGUAAUACCAUGUCUGGAGAGUGCAUAUACGGCAUGGCCUCCCUGGAAAAUAAUCUUAAAUACGUUAAUGCUUAUAAGAAGAGAACGCUUGAUAUUGCUAUCUCUUUCUGUUUGACAGGCAGCAGCGAUAACUCAUCUAUUAAUUCAGUUUUCGUUUUUAACUAAAUAAAAUAAAGCCUUCACCUCAUGUUAGUAACAAUAUUAAUAUAAUAAGAGUAUAAAUUCGACUGGUUAAAAAUGGAUUAGUUUAAAAACUGCACAAAAAAUAUUUCCCAGCAAGUCUACCAUCACGGAAUGGAAUUAAGCACUAUAUGUUUUUUUUUUAUUUCUGUUCUAUGAAAAGCCGUUAUAUAGGCAGCACAGUUAUGGACCUUAGCCUGUUACUCACGGAAAGGACACACAACGAAAUAAUUACACAAAAUUAGGCUGUAUAGCAAUGUACCUUUGUAUUUCCAUUUUCGAUAACUGUAACUAGUAUAGACUAUUUCAAUGGAAUUUAAUAAAAAUAUAAAAAAAAGCAAUGACUGACUUGGUCAUAAGACAGUUCGCUGAUGUCCAACAGUAGUACAAAUAAAAAUUAGAUUAAUCAAUUGAAUGUUUCGAUUUGUUACUAAUUCUAUUUAGAAAGUGUUUCUGUGAUAAUUUCAAUUUGUUUUUACAUUUUCAUUAAGUUUCGUUAAAACUGGCUAUAAUUCAAAUAAAAAUAAUAAAUUGCAACUCAUGAUGCUUAGAUUAUAUAUUUUUUUUUUUUUAGUACGUUUGUUCCGUUUGGAACAGGCUAAGGUCGGAGACCAUGCUGCCUAGUCUUCAAAAAGAUAAAUUGUCUGGAAUUUAGAUUAUAUAGAGUCUAAUGUCUAAAAUGUGUCAAAAUUUAGUCAGCUAAUUUGACGGUUGACUUUUUUUUUCAUAUCAUAAUAACGCAUUAUUCGCGCUUUUUUUCAGUGUUACCAGUAAUUAGAUUAAAAAUCCCUAGAGUUGGUCGAUUGUUUAAAUUUGUAUUGGGAACUAUAUUCUCUAGUGUAAAGUAAAGAUACAUAUGUACGCAUUGCUUAAUAAAUAAUAUACUUAUAUUAAUUAAAAUGGCGACCAUUUUUAAUUAUUUACAAAUGAAAACAUAUUUUAAGGAUAUAUUCGGAUAUAAAUAUAUAUAAUCAGUAAAUAUAUGCGUCAUUCUGAAUAAUUAUGCACUGUUAAUCUUGUACUUUUAAAUAUAUUUAUAGGAAUAUUGUAUAAUUUUUUUAUUUUUCAUUGUGAUCUUAAUUUCUCCUAUAUGUUAACUGGGGGGAAAGGGAUUGUUAGUAAUGGAGACUAAGAAUCCCAUUGCUAGCAAUAUACCUAACCAGGUCGACCUCCUCGCGGUUCCCCCUGAUAACUAUCAUGGUUAAUUCCUGAUGAAUUCAUCAUGAUGGGCUAACUGACCUGUUUUCAUUCUCAUCUAUCACCCUUCACUGGUGCUCCGUCAGCGUAUCCCGUUAGCGCAGGCGGGGUUACCAAUACCAUUUUCACCCAACAAAAAAAAAAAAAAAAAAACAGUAUAUACUGGUAACCCUCGAUAAAAAAAAAUUCCCGUUAUUUUUAGUAAAUCAUUUGUACGUAGAUACUAUGUCUAUAUAAUCUAAGCAUUCUAAACUAUGAUGGUAGUCCUGCUAGAUGGGAUCACUUUCUAUAAUCAAUGUGAAUUAAUAAGAUGAACUAAAAUAAGGUCGAUAUAUGAAGAAAAUCAAUAAUAAUCUAUUUUGAAGUAUAUAAACAUCUGUGUGCGUAAAACUAGAUAAUGUAUAAUAAGUAAAUAUAGCUCUUAAUAAGUAUUAAUAAGGUGCAAACUCUAAAACUGGCAAUGGACCGCUUCUGACAGCUAUUUCUCUAAAUCUAUCACUUAAUAUAAUAUUUUAAUUCGAUAAUUUGAUGAUCACCGCCUUACUGUCCGACUCGACCCACUGAAACUGCGCAGAGAUGUUGCAUCUCUGUGCAUCUUCUAUCGAAUUUAUCAUGGGGAGUGCUCUGAGGAAUUGUUCGGAUUGAUACCUGCUGCUGAUUUUCACCACCGUACAACCCGCCACAAACUAAAGUUUCAUCCCGAUCAUCUGGACGAGUGGCGGUCCUUCACCGUGCGUUUUUCAAGGCACUUUCUCCACGCACAACCACUCUUUGGAAUCAACUUCCAGCAGCAGUGUUUUCGAACCGAUACGACAUCAUAACCUUCGAGAAAAGAGCAUAUUCCUUUUUAAAAGACCGGCACCUGCAAUGCCGCUAGUGUUGUGGGAGAUCAUGGGCGGCGGUAGUCACUUACCACCAGGUGAGCCGCAUGCCCGUUUGCCCCCUGUGUUGUAAAAAAAAUUAACAAUUUUACGGAAUUAUUGUUUUUAGUAAUCAAAUUAUAAACUAAAGGUCUAAUUUUGACUUAAAUGUAUUAGUAAAUGAGUUAAUAUUGUUCCUUACUUUAAAGAUUUCGUUGCGAUAUCAAAUUGAAAUUUUAAUUUUAGAGACGUUCAGAGAGAUGGCGCCACUGAUUCGGUCCCAAUGUCUGGAUUAUCUGUGUAAUUUUAAGAAGUAUUUGAUUAUGUUUUAAACUCACUUUUUGCCCGACCAUGAUAGUAGCAAUAUAGUUGCAAUUUUAUUAUAAUAAUAAAAUUAUUUUAAUUUAGGUUCAAUUUUUACAGAUAAAAGGGACAUUGCUAGUUUUACAAUGCGACCUAUUUAGUGGUCGUUCCCACAUAUAGUAUAUGUCACAUAUGUGUAAGUAUAUUUGUUAUUCAUAUAUAUUUAUUCGUUUAUAUAUGUAAUUUUAAUAUGUAUGUAUAUCAAUAAUUACUAGUACCGCAUUCGAGUAUUCUGACACUUGCCUAUGGUUGACUGGGAGAGAAUGCUUUUAGCAUUAAGUCCGCCAUGUACACAUAUUUAUACUGAUGAAUAAAUAAAUAAAAAAAUACUGGUCUAAUAACGAAUAUGUUAAAAGUUUCUUAUACAAAUAAUAAUAUUGGAUAACAGACUUUUAACAUAUUGGUAGAUAGAUAUCCGACCGAUAUGGACGAUAUCGCAAUGGGUGAUGACCUUUUUCCCGCCAUCAAUAUCCAGUGAAACCCAAUAUAUAGAUAUCAGAUCGGUAGCCAUAUUUAUUUGUUAUAAGUUACAGUAAAAGUUUGCAAACAAAAAUGAAACAUUAAAAAGAAAACAAUACAAAAAUUUAUCAAUGUUUUUUUAUACAACUUAGAAUGGCAAACAAACUGACGGCCCACCUGAUGGAAAGUGGUAACCGUCGCCUAUACACAUGAGCAGUACCAUGGACAUAACAGAGCAUACUGUUUCGCCCAUGAUACAUCCCAUGCGUUGCCAUUUCUGAGGACUUAGGUGUUAUUCCUCUGUACCCUGUAAAUUCACGCCAAUACGCAGUAUUGCCAGCCUUACAUUGUAAACAUCGUUUAACACUAAGUUAGAAGUAAACGCUGUAACGCUUUUAUAGAUGUACCUUACAUUACUGAUUACAGUUAUGAUCCAAACUUAUUCCAUCUCAAAACUAUACAACGACCUCUUAAACCUAACAGUAUUCUGAUGAAGUUAUUACCCAUGCUUACUUCAAAAAGAAGAUACUAAACUCGGUUGUAUUUUUUUUAAUCUAAUUACCUUUUGUCAAACAUGCUUGAAAAUGUGAGCAUUAUUUUGACAAUCUUCUUCGACAUAAAUCAAAAUUGCCGUACUGUCCAGAUACAUGCGGGCAGCGGCCGGCAAGAGUUGUAUGAAAAUCCAUAUCUGUCGUGUUUUGCGGCCAGAUAAAUUACUAUGUAAACUCGUAUCUGUCCUGUAAUUUAAAAAUGGAAUGACCUUUUACUUCGAAACAUGGCUACCAAGGAGGUAACUAAUACAAGGUUUUAUUUAAAUUUCGAACUGGCUUGCAAAUAGAAAGCUUGAUUGAAAAAAAAACAAAGGAACAUUAUGGCGCGUGAAUAAUUAUUAUUGUUCGUUCUUCGUCAUUGAACUUAAAAAGUAAAAUUGUGUUUUUGAUUUCCGCGUAUUGUUUGAGAAAAGUACUAUACGAGCCUUAGCCACAACUAGGCAUUGAUGGACUCACGUAUGUGUGCCUCGACUACGCCUCGACCCACAUUUGCACGUUCGUCCAUCAAUGCCUCAGUUGCUGGCCGCUGCAGUAAUGUACUAUAUAACUCCGCCAGCUGUAAACCGUUUUGGAAAAUUCUUUUUUUUUUUAUCUGAAAGGCUUAGAUUAUACUGAAAGGAUAUACUUACAUAUUGGUCCCAUAGAAACUUUAUCAAACUUGGUAGUUUAGUUUUUAGAUCAAUAACUAGUUUUAUCACAUUUGAUAUCGAUUUUUUUGUGGGACGUAAUCUUCUAUUAUUAUUUAUUCUAUUUUUGAAAUACAAGUAUUAAUUAGAGUAUAUUAAGUACACAGUAAAUUUGUAAAAUAAUUAAUAUAUAAGUACACAAAAAUGUUAGUUUAAAAUAAUAGUUAAUUUGGAAUUAAUAAAAAUAUUGA